AACGAACGCUGGCGGCAUGCCUAACACAUGCAAGUCGAACGAGAUCUUCGGGUCUAGUGGCGCACGGGUGCGUAACGCGUGGGAAUCUGCCCUUUGGUUCGGAAUAACAGUUGGAAACGACUGCUAAUACCGGAUGAUGACGAAAGUCCAAAGAUUUAUCGCCAGAGGAUGAGCCCGCGUAGGAUUAGCUAGUUGGUGUGGUAAAGGCGCACCAAGGCGACGAUCCUUAGCUGGUCUGAGAGGAUGAUCAGCCACACUGGGACUGAGACACGGCCCAGACUCCUACGGGAGGCAGCAGUGGGGAAUAUUGGACAAUGGCGAAAGCCUGAUCCAGCAAUGCUGCGUGAGUGAUGAAGGCCUUAGGGUUGUAAAGCUCUUUUACCCGGGAUGAUAAUGACAGUACCGGGAGAAUAAGCUCCGGCUAACUCCGUGCCAGCCGCCGCAGUAA
rnacentral:rRNA from 1 species